rnacentral:rRNA from 1 species
GAAUGGGGAAACCCAGUGUGUUUCGACACACUAUCAUUAACUGAAUCCAUAGGUUAAUGAGGCGAACCGGGGGAACUGAAACAUCUAAGUACCCCGAGGAAAAGAAAUCAACCGAGAUUCCCCCAGUAGCGGCGAGCGAACGGGGAGCAGCCCAGAGCCUGAAUCAGUAUGUGUGUUAGUGGAAGCGUCUGGAAAGGCGCGCGAUACAGGGUGACAGCCCCGUACACAAAAAUGCACAUGCUGUGAGCUCGAUGAGUAGGGCGGGACACGUGGUAUCCUGUCUGAAUAUGGGGGGACCAUCCUCCAAGGCUAAAUACUCCUGACUGACCGAUAGUGAACCAGUACCGUGAGGGAAAGGCGAAAAGAACCCCGGCGAGGGGAGUGAAAAAGAACCUGAAACCGUGUACGUACAAGCAGUGGGAGCACGCUUAGGCGUGUGACUGCGUACCUUUUGUAUAAUGGGUCAGCGACUUAUAUUCUGUAGCAAGGUUAACCGAAUAGGGGAGCCGAAGGGAAACCGAGUCUUAACUGGGCGUUAAGUUGCAGGGUAUAGACCCGAAACCCGGUGAUCUAGCCAUGGGCAGGUUGAAGGUUGGGUAACACUAACUGGAGGACCGAACCGACUAAUGUUGAAAAAUUAGCGGAUGACUUGUGGCUGGGGGUGAAAGGCCAAUCAAACCGGGAGAUAGCUGGUUCUCCCCGAAAGCUAUUUAGGUAGCGCCUCGUGAAUUCAUCUCCGGGGGUAGAGCACUGUUUCGGCAAGGGGGUCAUCCCGACUUACCAACCCGAUGCAAACUGCGAAUACCGGAGAAUGUUAUCACGGGAGACACACGGCGGGUGCUAACGUCCGUCGUGAAGAGGGAAACAACCCAGACCGCCAGCUAAGGUCCCAAAGUCAUGGUUAAGUGGGAAACGAUGUGGGAAGGCCCAGACAGCCAGGAUGUUGGCUUAGAAGCAGCCAUCAUUUAAAGAAAGCGUAAUAGCUCACUGGUCGAGUCGGCCUGCGCGGAAGAUGUAACGGGGCUAAACCAUGCAC